rnacentral:tmRNA from 1 species
ACUUAUUGGACCCGGGGGCGGUACCCGGCGCCUCCACCAAAGUAUAAGAGAAGAAAAUAUAUUUUGCUGGGGGCGAAAUAGGAUCGACAAGAGUGUAAAGAUUGCUCUUUUACUCGGCAUAGUACCACCGUUAUCGGACUAAAUAAGUAGUUGCAAAUGAUAACAACUGCAGGAGAGAACUUCGCGCUGCCGCUUAAGGUGGGUGAAUUCUUCAAAUUAAGUCUUAAACCGUCGCAGGUUUGAGCGGGGUCCGAAGG